UACGUAGGGAGCAAGCGUUAUCCGGAAUCACUGGGCGUACAGGGUGCGUAGGCGGGCUUGUAGGUCUGAUGUGAAAGCCCCGGGCUCAACCCGGGAAAUGCAUUGGAAACCCCAAGUCUUGAGGACUAGAGAGGAAGGCGCAACUCGUGGUGGAGCGGUGAAAUGCGUAGAUAUCACGAAGAACAUCUGUGGCGAAGGCGGCCUUCUGGAUAGUUUCUGACGCUGAGGCACGAAAGCAUGGGUAGCAAACGGG
rnacentral:misc_RNA from 1 species